rnacentral:misc_RNA from 1 species
UCCGGUUUGUCACCGGCAGUCUCGUAUGAGUCCCCAACUAAAUGCUGGCAACAUACGACGGGGGUUGCGCUCGUUGCGGGACUUAACCCAACAUCUCACGACACGAGCUGACGACAACCAUGCAGCACCUGUGCUAGUGUCCCGAAGGAGGACCUUGCUUUCACAAGGCUUUCAUUAGCAUGUCAAACCUAGGUAAGGUUCUUCGCGUUGCUUCGAAUUAAACCACAUGCUCCACCGCUUGUGCGGGCCCCCGUCAAUUCCUUUGAGUUUCAGCCUUGCGGCCGUACUCCCCAGGCGGGGCACUUAUCGCGUUAGCUGCGGCACCGAGGGGGUCGAUACCCCCGACACCUAGUCCGCAUCGUUUACGGCGUGGACUAC